rnacentral:other from 1 species
GGUAUCCUGAAAUGUGCGAUACUCCCUUAAUUUUGAACCUACAUUUUUUUGAAACGGGAUUCCUAUAUUGGUGCUUCGGAUGUCAGGCCGUAUCUUUUCAGCGGAAGACAGAGGUUGCAUCUGCGGUUGCCCACCUAGCGCUGCUAGGACUCAAAAUAUGGGAAACGGCAUUUUGGGAUAUCA